AUUGAACGCUGGCGGCAGGCCUAACACAUGCAAGUCGAACGGUAACAGGAAGAAGCUUGCUUCUUUGCUGACGAGUGGCGGACGGGUGAGUAAUGUCUGGGAAACUGCCUGAUGGAGGGGGAUAACUACUGGAAACGGUAGCUAAUACCGCAUAACGUCGCAAGACCAAAGAGGGGGACCUUCGGGCCUCUUGCCAUCGGAUGUGCCCAGAUGGGAUUAGCUAGUAGGUGGGGUAACGGCUCACCUAGGCGACGAUCCCUACCUGGUCUGAGAGGAUGACCAGCCACACUGGAACUGAGACACGGUCCAGACUCCUACGGGAGGCAGCAGUGGGGAAUAUUGCACAAUGGGCGCAAGCCUGAUGCAGCCAUGCCGCGUGUAUGAAGAAGGCCUUCGGGUUGUAAAGUACUUUCAGCGGGGAGGAAGGGAGUAAAGUUAAUACCUUUGCUCAUUGACGUUACCCGCAGAAGAAGCACCGGCUAACUCCGUG
rnacentral:rRNA from 1 species